GAUGAAGAACGUAGCGAAAUGCGAUAAGUAAUGUGAAUUGCAGAAUUCAGUGAAUCAUCGAAUCUUUGAACGCACAUUGCGCCCGCCAGUAUUCUGGCGAGCAUGCCUGUUCGAGCGUCAUUUCAACCAUCAAGCCCCCGGCUUGUGUUGGGGACCUGCGGCUGCCGCAGGCCCUGAAAAGCAGUGGCGGGCUCGCUGUCACACCGAGCGUAGUAGCAUACAUCUCGCUCUGGGCGUGCUGCGGGUUCCGGCCGUUAAACCACCUUCAUAACCCAAGGUUGACCUCGGAUCAGGUAGGAAGACCCGCUGAACUUAAGCAUAUCAAUAAGCGGAGGA
rnacentral:misc_RNA from 1 species